ensembl:lncRNA
CGCAGGCGCGCCUGGGUUUGAAAGGGUCGCGCCUUGUGCGCUUGCGCAGUGAAGCCUGCGGGGGCAUACCCGCCGUCUGUUCCCUUAACGGAGACCUUAUUGCAUCUUCUCGGUCAGGCGAAGCCACACGACGUUGACGAGCCGGAGAUCAUCCUCCGCCAUGUGGUGUCCUGCAGUCGCCAGAAUGCAAAGCAGAGGAGGAACAGAGCCUCAUCAACUUAGGUGAAUUUCCUACUUGUCUGGACUAUGAUAGACUUGUGUCCAUUGAGAUGAGGAACCAUGAAGCCGGGAGACUCAAGGGUGGGUUGACCUGUGUGCUUUUGGAGGAGUGAAUAAAAAGUAGAAAUUCCAUUGUGUGUGUGUGUUCAUUGCGGGUUUAAAAGGAGGGGGAAGAUGCUUGGGAUUCUGACUGUCAGCUGGAAGCCUAGACCCCUGUGUCUGAUGGAGGAGGGGUCCAAGGGUGAGGCCUCCUGGGUCCCUGGAGAGGAGGGAUGGUGGGGGUGUGUGCAGGAUAGAAUUCCUUGGGCUGCAGUCCAGUGACUUUAAGAGUUUUGCCACCCUGGAGGAGGUGAGGUGGCCUAAUAAUUGUUUAACCUUGUGGGCUGUGAUAGUAAACUUCUUAGCUCUAGAACUAGCGUGGCCCAUAAAUGCCCCCAGUCUGUUCAGCAUGUCUGCAGCCAUGGCCUUGGGUAGACCCUUCUCGUCCUGACUUAGGACCUGGUCUUUGGAUCUGCUUGACUACUGGACUCACAGCAAACGUGAUGCAAGCAGAGGCUUGACGAGUGCUCAUGGACUGGGAUGAUCUCUCUUGCUGCCCUGGGGACCCCUGCCACCAUGACCACAUGGGGAAGUCCAGGCUAACCUGCACGGUGAUAGAUAACAUGUGGCCCAGCCAGCUAGGACAAUCCUCUUCAAUGCAGAGGAUUGAAGUUCAAUCCCUGGCGGGUAUCGAAGAUCCCAGAUGCCACCGAGCAUCUAAGCCUGGGAGCUGCAACUAGAGUGUCCAUGUGCCGCAAAAGGGAUCCUGCAUGACUUAUUAAAGAUAUUGUGUGCCACAACUAACACCCAAUGCAGCCAAAUAAAUAUAUAUAAGGAUGUUUAUAUAGGCAAUUAUUCUAAGCAACUGCGGUUUGGAGGGGCUUGUUAUGUAGCCAAGUAUUGAUACUGAUACAGCCGUGUCCCCUCUCUCAGGAAUGCAGUCUCUUUCUCCCUCUCAAUUUGACUCAAUGAUUAAAAUCUGAAGAUCUGCCACCUUUUAGCUGCACGAUCACCAAUGUGAUAUUCCUUCUUGAACCUCAGAUUCUUUAACAGGAUAGUGCCUAUCACAAGGAGUAGCGGUGAAGAUUAAAUCUGUCAUUUUCAUUUCAUGACCCUCAGAGGUCAUGUUGGUAAUGAAGCCUGUCUGGCAGGGGCAUAGGGGGCCAGACUGCUCUUCUUGAGCCCCUCCCCCUGGGGUUUGCUAGGGCCACUGAGGGGUACUAUAGUUCCUUGCUCCAGUGAGGUUGGCUUUAACUGUAUGAUUUCCUUACUCCAUGGAAUGUUAGCACCAACGCAGGGACCUUUGGUGCACGUGGUUUGUGUGCGCGUGUCAUCUGCCGUUAGACAGACAUUCGCCAGGGAGCCACAGAUCUCAGAAGACUGUAACCCCAUGGAGUGGAGGAGAACUAGAGUCCCUCUCCCAAGCUGCAGCCAAACCCACCAGCGCACAGCCAGAAACAGAGGUGCCCUUAGGAAUGGCUACCGAGUAGGAGAAAGAAUGCUUCUUGACAUGUCUUGAUUUGGGCAUGGUUUGUUACACACUACUACAGCAUCAACUGACUAAUACAACUUUGUUGUUUUAAGCUAUUGAGAUUGGAGACUUAUUUGUUACUGUAGCAUAAUCCAGUCUAUCCUGAUAGAUGCCAAAGUCUAGUGCCUUCUAACUAAUGGCUACUCAGUAAGUGGCCGCUGUUAGGAUGGUAACUAUUUGCUCAGACACACUGUCUCCAGAACCAACAAAGUUUUAAAGUUGAUAGUGUGUGUACUCAGUCACUCAGUUGUGUCCGACUCUGAU